GUGGAUUAGAUACCCCAGUAGUCCACGCUGUAAACGAUGGAUGCUAGCCGUUGGCGAGCUUGCUCGUCAGUGGCGCAGCUAACGCUUUAAGCAUCCCGCCUGGGGAGUACGGUCGCAAGAUUAAAACUCAAAGGAAUUGACGGGGGCCCGCACAAGCGGUGGAGCAUGUGGUUCAAUUCGAAGCAACGCGCAGAACCUUACCAGCCCUUGACAUCCCGGUCGCGGAGAGCAGAGACGCACUCCUUCAGUUCGGCUGGACCGGAGACAGGUGCUGCACGGCUGUCGCCAACU
rnacentral:rRNA from 1 species